rnacentral:tRNA from 1 species
ACUGAAAUAGCUUAGCUUGGGAGAGCGUUAGACUAUUGAUCAAAAGGUUCCUAGUUCGAUCCCGGGAUUCGGCG